rnacentral:rRNA from 1 species
AAUAGAUACCCUGGUAGUCCAUGCCGUAAACGUUGGGCACUAGGUGUGGGGCUCAUUCCACGAGUUCCGUGCCGCAGCAAACGCAUUAAGUGCCCCGCCUGGGGAGUACGGCCGCAAGGCUAAAACUCAAAGGAAUUGACGGGGGCCCGCACAAGCGGCGGAGCAUGCGGAUUAAUUCGAUGCAACGCGAAGAACCUUACCAAGGCUUGACAUGCACGGGAAGCCACCAGAGACGGUGGUCUCUUUGGACACUCGUGCACAGGUGGUGCAUGGUUGUCGUCAGCUCGUGUCGUGAGAUGUUGGGUUAAGUCCCGCAACGAGCGCAACCCUCGUCCCAUGUUGCCAGCGGGUUAUGCCGGGGACUCAUGGGAGACUGCCGGGGUCAACUCGGAGGAAGGUGGGGAUGACGUCAAAUCAUCAUGCCCCUUAUGUCUUGGGCUUCACGCAUGCUACAAUGGCCGGUACAAAGGGCUGCGAUACCGUAAGGUGGAGCGAAUCCCAAAAAGCCGGUCUCAGUUCGGAUUGGGGU